rnacentral:lncRNA from 1 species
AAAUGACAAGCAUCCAUAGGAGCAACAUCACACCACACUUUGUCUUUAUAAUACUUGCCAAUAGAAAAUGAAACUAAACAUCUUUUAGUUACUUUGAUGUCAUUUCCUUUUUGCAACCAACAUAAUUGAUAUGGAUGUGGAUGAGGGAUUGUGUCCAACUUCAGCUUCUGCACCAUCUCCAAAGAAACUACGUUCUCAAAACUGCCGCUGUCGAUGAUCACCAAGCACACCUUGCCA